ACAGUAUUUUCUUGAAGAUAAACAUACAGUACACCACAACAGCAAGGCCAGUGACAAGAUUGGAGCCAGAAGGGUACAUUAGGUUUAGGAACAGAUCAAGCCGGUUGAUGGGUGUUUUAUCACCAGAUGUUAUAUGCUGUACACAGUGAUGAUGCCAGCAUGACAGAUAUAAUUCCACUUGGUCGGGGUACGACCUUUAUUCAAAUGGAAGAAAUCACAGCUACUCACACAAUUGCAUCGUAGCCUAAAUCACCAUCUGCAACUUCAACAUCUGACAUUCUGAUGAUGUUCUGUACUAAUGUAUACAACAUGGGACAUCAUCAGAAGUUGCUCAGUGUGCAAUAUGUUUUGGAGUAAAAUUCAAACAGCUGGCAUGAUUGACUGUACACUAGGGAUUAUCAGAUGUAGCAGAGGGGAGCUCUCUAAAGUUGCCCUGAGGUGCAGAAAACGCCCAGAGGGUUAAAGGUUCUAUUAAUCUUCACCCUGUACCAGUUAUGAAAAUCAAUAACUAAAUAACAACAUGGAAAUACAUAGAUAAUAUCUGUAAUUGUUUAGGCAUGGACAAAAUCAAUGUGUACAAGAAAUACAAUGUGAGGUGAAAAAUAAAAAGUGUAAAUAUAGCUGUCUAAAAGAGGUGAAAAAGUUGUACAAUACCAUGGUUGAAAACAGUUGUGCCAUUGAAAAAGUGUUAUGACAUUGAAAAAAAAUCAGUAUAAACACACCACAGAUUGCAGUACUAACAAAUGUUGAAAAAAGUGUAUCACAAUAUUGACGUAUAGAGUAGCAAGAUGUUCUUCUAUAUACUUACUUUGGUUUUCCAUAUUAUUCCGAGUCAGGUAUUCUCUGAGGCCCUAAUUGCCUCAUGUAAAUAGACCUUUUAAUUUACAGGCCAUGUACCCCUGUUCACAGAUAGAGAAAUGUAAUUUCCAGGUGAUUUCGCCAUAAUGGCAGAUGCUCCACCUAACUGAUUUAUCUAGGGGCCUCAAUUUGUGUUAUAGCCAAGAGAAUAAUACCGUUAAGUUUCUUCUGCAAUAACCUCAUGCAAAGUGACAAUUAAAACCUCAUUGGCAGUUCGAGAGAGUUAAUUCUUGCUUAUAGUUAUCUAGAAAAUACUGUCUAAAUAUACAGCUGAAAUAGCAUAAAGACAGUAUUUAGAAUAUUGAAGUAGGAUUGAAACACUGAUAUGAUAAGAUUUAUGAAUAAAGAAUCUGUAAAUUCUUAAGGGGAAAGUCUGGUGCAAUUAUUAAGGAAGCUGUUUGUCUUAUACUGUGCUUCAUCUGAUUUGCAAUUUAUAUUGACAUGUACUUGCAAACCUAUUACAUAUAACCCUAAUUUAAUCUUCUUAUCCAAUUUUUGUACAAAUAUAUUAAAUGAUUAUUGUAGAUGAUUAAAUGAGUCUAACUACAUUGUACUUAAUCUCAUCAUUGAUGCCAUGAAUAUUUCACUAGCAUUUGGAAAAGGCAUCUGGUUGAAUGGUACAAAUGAUGCUCUUUGCAGCACCAAGUAAUUGCACUAGGUUCACGAGUUGUCAAUUUUCCAUGGAUGUCAUGUUUCAAAGUAGGGAAUCUCAAAUUUACUUAGAUAAAUUUCAUUGAUUGGACCUUUUUCUAUCUAAACUUGCAAUAAAUGUGUCAUCUAUUAUACUGCAUUGAGUAAGAGUUGACAUAUUGAAUGCUAAGUGCUAAAUAACACGUACAUUUGAACAUCUAAACAUUUGUGAUUUAUAUCAGUUAGCCUACGGUUGGUACCCUUAAUUUCCCUUAACAUUCAUUUUUUUAUGGGGGGUGAAGUGGGAUGGAUAAAAAGUGCACUACUAAAAUUUUCCAUGGAAUUUGUGUAUCAGUUUCCAAUCAGUGAUAAACAUUCAACCUAAUUGAAUUUAAUUUCUGAACAUAACAGGGAUUAACUUCUCUACCCUUUUCACCCUGAGUGUCACA